GUUUUCCGUGCGGCUCUAUGGACAAGUCCCUUGGAACAGGGCAUCGUAGAGGGUGAAAAUCCCGUACUUGCCAUGGAUGUACCGUGCUUUGUGAUACACGCUCUAAGAGUCGAGUUGUUUGGGAUUGCAGCUCAAAAUGGGUGGUAGACUCCAUCUAAAGCUAAAUAUCGGGGAGAGACCGAUAGCGAACAAGUACCGUGAGGGAAAGAUGAAAAGCACUUUGGAAAGAGAGUUAAAAGUACGUGAAAUUGUCGAAAGGGAAGCGCUUGAAGUCAGCCAUGCUGCGCGGACUCAGCCCGGCUGAUGCCUGGUGUAUUUCCCAGCAGCAAGUCAGCAUGGAUUUGGAUCGCCGGAGAAGGGUGGGAGGAAUGUGGCACCCUCGGGUGUGUUAAGCCUCCUACUGGAUACGGCGAUUUGGAUCCAGGAACGCAGUGUGCCUCUGGCGGGUCUUCGGACACCUUCACACUUAGGAUGCUGGCGUAAUG
rnacentral:rRNA from 1 species